GAUGAACGCUGGCGGCGUGCCUAAUACAUGCAAGUCGAGCGAACAGACGAGGAGCUUGCUCCUUUGACGUUAGCGGCGGACGGGUGAGUAACACGUAGGUAACCUACCUAUAAGACUGGGAUAACUUCGGGAAACCGGAGCUAAUACCGGAUAAUAUUUCGAACCGCAUGGUUCGAUAGUGAAAGAUGGCUUUGCUAUCACUUAUAGAUGGACCUGCGCCGUAUUAGCUAGUUGGUAAGGUAACGGCUUACCAAGGCAACGAUAUGUAGCCGACCUGAGAGGGUGAUCGGCCACACUGGAACUGAGACACGGUCCAGACUCCUACGGGAGGCAGCAGUAGGGAAUCUUCCGCAAUGGGCGAAAGCCUGACGGAGCAACGCCGCGUGAGUGAUGAAGGUCUUCGGAUCGUAAAACUCUGUUAUUAGGGAAGAACAAACGUGUAAGUAACUGUGCACGUCUUGACGGUACCUAAUCAGAAAGCCACGGCUAACUACGU
rnacentral:rRNA from 1 species